rnacentral:rRNA from 1 species
UACGGAGGGUGCGAGCGUUGUCCGGAAUCACUGGGCGUAAAGGGCGCGUAGGCGGCCUGGUAAGUAGGGGGUGAAAUCCUGCGGCUUAACCGCAGGGCUGCCUUCUAAACUGUCAGGCUCGAGCACGGCAGAGGCAGAUGGAAUUCCCGGUGUAGCGGUGGAAUGCGUAGAGAUCGGGAAGAACAUCAGUGGCGAAGGCGGUCUGCUGGGCCGUUGCUGACGCUGAGGCGCGACAGCGUGGGGAGCAAACAGG